rnacentral:tRNA from 1 species
GCAUCAGUAGCUCAGCGCCCAGAGCGCCGGU